GUUUGAAUGAUGUUACUAUUAAGUCGGAUACCCCUUCACUCAUUCUGAGUGACAAACCGAAUCUGACAAGC